UGGCGUGCUUAACACAUGCAAGUCGAACGGCAGCACGGACUUCGGUCUGGUGGCGAGUGGCGAACGGGUGAGUAAUGUAUCGGAACGUGCCCAGUAGCGGGGGAUAACUACGCGAAAGCGUAGCUAAUACCGCAUACGCCCUACGGGGGAAAGCAGGGGAUCGCAAGACCUUGCACUAUUGGAGCGGCCGAUAUCGGAUUAGCUAGUUGGUGGGGUAACGGCUCACCAAGGCGACGAUCCGUAGCUGGUUUGAGAGGACGACCAGCCACACUGGGACUGAGACACGGCCCAGACUCCUACGGGAGGCAGCAGUGGGGAAUUUUGGACAAUGGGGGAAACCCUGUCCAGCCAUCCCGCGUGUGCGAUGAAGGCUUCGGGUUUAAAGCACUUUGCAGGAAGAAACGUCGCGGGUACUCCCUGGUUCUGAUGU
rnacentral:rRNA from 1 species